UUGCUGGUAGCACUGACUCAUGGGCCAUUAUGACCUGUGGUUCAGCUCCAGUUGCUGGUAUAUAAAUGCGCAUACACACACACACACAAAGGCCCCUCACCCAGAGCAAAAUGCUGACACUCUCAGAACAUCAAAGUUGUCAUCUGCAAGGAGGAAUUCUCACACUCCAACCAGGAGUUAUGUACCAUCUGUGAAAGAGAGAAAUGACAGCCAAAUGGUGUAGGAUAUGGAAAUACACAGCUUUUUGCAAGCUAAAGAAGUUCAUUCUCCAAACAGCCACUGACUCUAAAAAGUGAGCUUAUGUCUUCCCAAGUUUUACCAAAGCAUACACUGAAAAUCCUGGAGACUCUACACUACAGGAAUGCCAUUCCUUUUCUAUGAAGCUUUAAUUAGCUUUGAAUAUAAACAGUGUUAUUUGCAGCAUGAA